rnacentral:ncRNA from 1 species
CCACGCUGUCUACGCGGCGCUCGCCGUCUGAUGGCAGGCCGUCCGUACCGACACGGGAUGGCCCAGACGAGAGGA